AUUUUGGAGUUAUUUUUGUAUGUGUUGCUUGUUGUUUGCACUGCUUACCUGCGUCAUUUGCAUUAUUACCACUAUUUUACCUGUGUUGUUUGCAAUAAUUCACAGUUUGUUUGAUUUGUUGAUCUGCAUAGCGUGUGAACAGAGAACUAGCUGUAGUCAUUGCUUGAUUUGUUGAUCUGCAUAGCGUGUGAACAGAGAACUAGCUGUACAUGACUAAUGUUUACUUGUCUACCUUAUAAAUUCUCCUCUCACUUCUCCUUCCAGCGCUUCCUCCGCCCCCCUGUCAGGUAUGGAGGGGUUGGGGAAAGGACGCCGUGUCUCUGAGGUUCCCUUGACUGGCCAGCUGACGCCCCUUGAUGUCUCCAUGGCCGUGGUGAGGCAGGAGAGGACUGAAGCAGCUUCUUUCUGUACCAAGCACUGCCACGCAGCACCAGAAAGCUAUGAGUAUGUAAGGUGAGCCCAGCGGUAUCACCAUCCCCCGCAUUCAGCCAUACUGCCUUCACAGCAUCGCCUCUGCUCCUCCCUGGUGGAGAGCUUAGGAUACCACAUGGAGGGGUGGUGAAGGAGGUGAAGGAAAUGCAGAAAAUUGCUCUAAUACUGAGCGCUUCUCUGGUCAGACCAUCCUUCACUGAAUAUUUGGACCGAGGCUUCGAGAUACAAGUGGGCCAGGUGACCCCCCAGAACAGCGCCAUCCUACAUACUUGUGGUGUGGCAGCCCUGAUCGUCCCCCUUCCUCCCUCCUCUUCCUCCUCCUCCUCUUCCCCCUCCAGCAUAGAAGAGACGUUUAAUCAGCUGGUGGACAGCGCUUCCUCCGCCCCCCUGUCAGAUAUGGAGGGGUUGGGGAAAGGAUGCCGUGUCCCUGAGUCUGCCCCUGACUGGCCAGCUGACGCCCAUUGAUAUCUCCAUGGCCGUGGUGAGGCAGGAGAGGACUCAAGGAUGGAGAGCUUAGGAUACCACACGGAGGAGGGUGAAGGAGCCUUGGGGAAGCCUGAAGAAGGGGCAGUGAAGGAGGGAGGCCUGGAGGUGAAGGAAAUGCAGAAAAUUCCUCUAAUAGUGAGCGCUUCGCUGGUCAGACCAUCCCUCACUGAAUAUUUUGACCGAGGCUUCGAGAUACGAGAUGAGAAUCCGUUUUUUAGUAGUUUAAGCCAGUUUUAUGUGUUUUUGGGUGUUUGUAGAUUGUUUUUAUCUUGUUUUGAGUAUUUUUUUGGUUUGUGAAAGGAGGGAGAAAGCUUAAAUACAGUAAUAAUACCGCAAAAAAGGCUUAAAUUGAGAGUUUUAAAGUUAUCUUAGCGUAUAUUAAGCUGUUUUAAAUGUUUUAAGUUACCAGAAGAGAGGAAGCUUAAAUUUAAUAUUAGGAUAAGGAAAAAGCUUAUUUCUUGCAUUAGGAAGAAAGGAAAGCUUAAUAUUGCCACCUCAUCCCCCCAGCCCCCAGUGAGCCAGGUGACCCCCUAGAACAACGCCAUCCUGCCUAUUUGUGGUGUGGCAGCCCAGAUCGUCCCCCUCCCUCCCUCAUCCUCCUCCUCCUCUAGCAAAGAAGAGACGUUUAAUCAGCUAGUGGACAGGUUGUUGUUGUUGUUGUUAUUGUUGUUGUGGGGGUGGCGGUGGUAGUAGUGGCGGCGGUGGUUGUUCGUCUCUCUCUCUCUCUCUCUCUCUCUCUCUCUCUCUCUCUCUCUCAGGCGGUGGUGGGGGGGCGGGAGGGCGUAGUCUCGAGGAGGCUGGCAGAGGUUAUGGAAGGGUCCUGGUAUGCUCCCUCUCCCUCACUCCCUCGCUCCCUCCUUGGGCUCUCUCCGGAACAAGUAGCGGCGUGGCUGGAAGUGGGCGGAAGUUUAGCAGGCUUCUCUAAGAUUGGGCUGGAAGUUAGCGGAAGAGGAGACGUGGCACAUGACAAGGCAAUACAGGGCUUACAGAGGGCAGGCGUGACUGGGCCCUGCCUCGCCGCCCUUGUCAACACCCUAGAGAGAAAUACGCUCACCUUGUAGAGAGGAUAUAUUUUCAUUUUCUUUCGUUGUAUAUAUAUUUUUUUUUAUUUAUUAUUAAAAGGAAUAUUUUCUUUUUUCUAUUUUUCGUUCGUUUUAUAAUGGAUUGUUUAAUUUUAUCUAUAUUUGUUUACAUUUUUUAUCAAUUUCUUUCGAUUUUAUAUUCAGUUUAUUUAUUUAUCAUUAUUUCUUAAGAUAAUUUCUUUAUUUUCUUUAUUUUUCGCUCGUUUUCAUAAUGGGAGUGUUCAAUUUUUAUAUAUUUUUCAAUCGUAAUUUAAUAUCUUAGACUUAAUAUCCAAUUUAUUGAUUUAUUAUUACUUCUAAGUGUGUGUAAGUACUUAAAAGUUUAAUUUAAUUAUUUAUUUAUUUAUUUUUAUUUUCCGUCCGUUUUUAUUAUAUUGGAAACUUAUUUCAUAUAUAUUCCAGUUUUGUUUCUUGUUC